UUGGUCAUUUAGAGGAAGUAAAAGUCGUAACAAGGUCUCCGUAGGUGAACCUGCGGAGGGAUCAUUACACAAUAUGAAAGCGGGCUGGCAUCCUUCGGGGUUACAGCCUUGCUGAAUUAUUCACCCGUGUCUUUUGCGUACUUCUUGUUUCCUUGGUGGGUUCGCCCACCAUAGGACAAACCAUAAACCUUUUGUAAUUGCAAUCAGCGUCAGUAAAAAAAUUAAUAAUUACAACUUUUAACAACGGAUCUCUUGGUUCUGGCAUCGAUGAAGAACGCAGCGAAAUGCGAUAAGUAGUGUGAAUUGCAGAAUUCAGUGAAUCAUCGAAUCUUUGAACGCACAUUGCGCCCUUUGGUAUUCCAAAGGGCAUGCCUGUUCGAGCGUCAUUUGUACCCUCAAGCUUUGCUUGGUGUUGGGCGUCUUGUCUCCAGUUCGCUGGAGACUCGCCUUAAAGUAAUUGGCAGCCGGCCUACUGGUUUCGGAGCGCAGCACAAGUCGCGCUCUCUUCCAGCCAAGGUCAGCAUCCACAAAGCCUUUUUUCAACUUUUGACCUCGGAUCAGGUAGGGAUACCCGCUGAACUUAAGCAUAUCAAUAAGCGGCGGA
rnacentral:rRNA from 1 species